AAACUUUCAACAACGGAUCUCUUGGUUCUGGCAUCGAUGAAGAACGCAGCGAAAUGCGAUAAGUAAUGUGAAUUGCAGAAUUCAGUGAAUCAUCGAAUCUUUGAACGCACAUUGCGCCCCUUGAUAUUCCGGGGGGCAUGCCUGUUCGAGCGUCAUUA
rnacentral:rRNA from 1 species